rnacentral:snRNA from 1 species
GUGCUACCUUUGGCAGCACAUCUACUGAAACUGGAAUGAUAAAGAGAAGAUUAGCAUGGCCCUUGUGCAAAGA